rnacentral:rRNA from 1 species
UACGGGGGGGGCAAGCGUUGUUCGGAAUUACUGGGCGUAAAGGGCUCGUAGGCGGCCAACUAAGUCGGAUGUGAAAUCCCCAGGCUCAACCUGGGAACUGCAUCCGAUACUGGAUGGCUUGAAUUCGGGAGAGGGAUGCAGAAUUCCAGGUGUAGCGGUGAAAUGCGUAGAUAUCUGGAGGAAUACCGGUGGCGAAGGCGGCAUCCUGGACCGGAACUGACGCUGAGGCGCGAAAGCGUGGGGAGCAAACAGG